AACCGUAAAACAGUGUGUAACCAAUUAAAAAAGAAAAGGGUCCUCGACUUCUCUAACAUUUUUUUCCCCGUACUCAACCUCCAGAGUCGAGACGGCACUCUCUCCCCUGCAACACUGCAACACUCUCCCUCUCUGUAGAGACUAGAGUCUAGACAGGCACACACGCAGAGCUCAUAUGUUAAUAAACCGUUUCCAUUUCACUCUUUGGCACUCUCUCUCUCUCGGUUUCAAAACCCAAACGAACUAACAAAUGCCGCAACUGACGGAGCUCAGCCGUGUGGACCCGCGGAUCUGGCGAGCCUGCGCUGGAUCCUCCGUUCAAAUCCCCACCAUUAAUUCUAGGGUUUACUACUUCCCUCAGGGGCAUCUCGAACAAUCCUCAUCGUCUACGGCACCUCAUCCCCCAUUUCUCUCCAAUCUCGCUCUCUCUAAACCCUUAAUUUCUUGCCAAAUCUCCGCCGUUGAUUUCCUCGCCGAUCCGGUAACCGAUGAGGUCUUCAUUAGACUUCUCCUUCUCCCUCUCAAUGAUCACUCCUGUAACCUCCCGCACUCCUUUCUAGAACCUUCUAGAAGUGAGGGUGGAGGUCUUAAUGACGUCGAUGACGAUGAGAAUAAGAUUUUGGCCUUCGCUAAGAUUCUAACGCCGUCAGAUGCGAAUAACGGUGGUGGUUUCUCCGUCCCGAGGUUCUGUGCCGACUCGAUUUUCCCUCCGUUAAACUACCAGGCGGAGCCUCCGGUUCAGACUCUAACGGUCACCGAUAUUCACGGAAUUAGUUGGGAUUUCAGACACAUUUAUCGAGGGACGCCACGCAGGCACUUGCUAACUACUGGAUGGAGUAAGUUUGUGAACAAUAAGAAGUUGAUUGCGGGUGACUCGGUGGUUUUUAUGAGGAAUUUGAAGGGAGAGAUGUUUAUUGGAGUGAGGAGGGCAGUUAGGCUUAAUAACAGUGCCAGGUGGAGGGAGCAGAUUGCUGGUGGCGGUGGAGAGGGCAAAGUGAAGGCAGAGGAGGGAUUUUCGAUGAGUGGGAGAGGGAGGUUGUCCCAGGAGGCUGUGGCGGAGGCUGUGGAGAUGGCGGCUAAAGGUUCGCCGUUUGAAGUUGUGUAUUAUCCGAGGGCGGGUUGGUACUCAGAUUUUGUGGUGAGGGCUGAAGCUGUGGAGGCUGCCCUUGGUGUGUUUUGGACUGCUGGGAUGAGAGUGAAGAUGGCCAUGGAGACUGAGGAUUCUUCUAGAAUGACUUGGUUUCAGGGGACCGUUUCGGGUACUGGCUUGCCAGACUCUGGUGCAUGGCGUGGCUCUCCUUGGCGCAUGCUUCAGAUUACUUGGGAUGAGCCUGAAGUUUUGCAGAAUGCAAAGAGAGUGAGCCCUUGGCAAGUUGAAUUUGUUGCAACCACACCACAGCUUCAAGCUGCAUUCCCCCCAAUGAAGAAAUUGAGAUAUCCAAAUGAUUCUAGGUUCCUGACAGAUGGAGAACUUUUUUUUCCCAUGUCAGAUCUAACUAAUUCAACUACGGGGCAUAUGAAUGCUUCAAUGUUGAAUUAUAGUACUUUUCCUGCUGGCAUGCAGGGAGCCAGGCAAGAUCCUUUUUCCACAUUCGGUUUAUCCAACUUUAUAAGUGAAAAUGCUCCUCAGGUGUUCCGUGACAGGGCCUUUGGAAACAACUUGGUCCCUAAGAUGAAAAGAAUGCCCAGUGAGAUGAACAUUGGCAGUCUGCAGUCUGAGAACUUAUCACCUGAGAGCCAGAGUAGUGCAUAUUCUUUUGGCAUAGGCUUUGUUGGAAACGGGGGCUUCAACCCCAAGAAAGUUGGAAUUAACUCUAUACAGUUAUUUGGUAAGAUCAUUCACAUGGACCAGCCUGUUGAAAAUGGUUUUGAUGAUGUUGGCUUCAUGGAUGACAGCAGUAAAUGUUGCAAUGAAACUGAAGGUGUUGAUUCACUGGAACUUUCACUGACUUCCUCCUAUACAGAACUACUUAACAGGAUUGAUGCCCAAUGCCAAAGAGCUUCACCUGUUGAGGCAUGUCCUACUUGAACAAGUAGUUCUGUAGUGCAUGCAUAUAAGUAGCUGUGCAGGUUUCUUUUUUCAUUAGAAGGUAAAUAUGGUGUCCAUUGAGGAGUUCUAUCUGCAUGCAGGGAGCUGACUUCUGAGGAGGCCCAUGCAGUAGUAACUGGUCUCUGUUGUUUUAGUGUAUGCUAGUUUGUUCUAGUUAGUGAUGUUGAGAAAAUUGACGUUGAGAACUAACGAAAAUUGACUUGGCAUAUGUUUAAAAUUUAGUGUUGGAUAUUCUUGUGGCCUUUGCAUGUUGUUGCCUUCUUUCUUUGA